AGUAACUGCUGUCUGAACUCUGAAGAUCUUUGGAUGCUCCUCGUGCUGUGGUACCGCACGUCUCUUUUGCGGGUGAAACUCGGGGCUUCCCCUCUUGUGGAUGGUACAAACUAAAAAAGAGUUAACGAAGAGUUGACAGCAUUGAGAAUGUCUUUUUGCUAUCCAUCGUCUCCAAGAAAAUUGGCGAUGACGGUUGCGUUUUUUGCCUCAGGGGCAGCUCUUUUCGCCCUUGGAAUUCAUUUUUCGUAUCUCAACGUUGCUCCCCAGCAAGCUCGCACUAAAGCCCGUAAUGAUUUUGUCAAAGAACGCCUCAGGCAGAAACAAGGCAAGUGAUUUCAGAUUUAUAUGAGAUUUUUGUUUCUCCCAAAAGACAAGCAUACUUUGAGCGUCUUACUUUAACCUCUCUAGUCUAAAGCUCAUCUCAUCUCAUUGUCACUUUUGUAGUAUUAAACUUUAGCAUUUUGCUAGAAAUCAUCUUGCAAAAUUA